ensembl:misc_RNA Metazoa_SRP Metazoan signal recognition particle RNA
GCUGGGCAUCGUGGUGGACGCCUGUAAUUCCAGCUACUAGGGAGGCUGAGGCAGGAGAAUUGCUUGAGCCCGGGAGGCAGAGGUUGUAGUGAGCUGAGAUCGGGCCACUGCACUCCAGCCUGGGCAACAGAGUGAGACUCUGUCUCAA